rnacentral:lncRNA from 1 species
GUUCAGAGUUGCUGUCGGGAGGUUGUCGCUGCUGUGUGCUGGAGGGCUGCGGAGGUGAUGGGCGGCCCGGGAGGAAUGACUAAAUCUGUAGUGCCUCUGUUAGUUGAUCACAAUAAAAUUGUACCUCACCUUGGACGCAGAGACGCUCUUUCCUCCCUAGUUGCCUCAACAGGAGAAACAGUUUUACUUCUGGAUAUUUUUGAGGUUUCUUGGUGUCUCUGUGGAGUCCCUGGGCCAGACCCCAUAGCGAAGGCUGCAGGAUCUUCUCCGGCCCCAGCAGCUCUGGUUGAGUCCACAGACCCUGCCUGGCCUCAGGCUCCUGGGAAGAGCAGAGUUGUCAGCAAGAGAGCCCGAGGGCUGAGGCCCAGCCGGAACAUGCCAGCUAACCAGAAUUCUCCCGGGCCAUCCCUGGCCCUGACUGCAGGGGGACGUGACAACUCCUGUGAGGUGAGGAGGAGGAAGAGGCGCCCCGGGGCAGGAAUUCAUUCAGAAGAAAAGAUAGUAUCUCUUUAUUUUAAUUUGUAUGACUUUUUUACCAGGCAGGAUAAUCCACCCCCCCAUUUUUAUUGGUCAUUCAUUUCCCUUGUGUGAAGUUCCUUCUUCUGCCCAUUGCUGAUUUAUUUAGCUUAGCUUAUGGAUUUUUAAAGAGUUAUUUAAAUGUGAUAACCCUUUAUCAUUCUUAUAUGUUUUGUGAAUAUUUUUUGCCACUUUGUAAUUUGCAAUUAAUUUUUAGUUUUGUUUACAAGUGGUAAAAGGUGUCUAAUAGUUCUCUAAGUCUUAAGGCUCUUCCCUGCUGUGUUUCUCCCAGAUUCCAGCUUCCUAGAGGCAAGUGCUCUUAAUCUUUUUAACAGAUUCUGUUUGCUUUAGUGUGGGGCAUUUUCUAUUGACUUUCCACUACAGAAAG